CCUACGGGCGGCAGCAGUGAGGAAUAUUGGUCAAUGGGCUUACGCCUGAACCAGCCAAGUCGCGUGAGGGAAGACUGCCCUAUGGGUUGUAAACCUCUUUUGUCAGGGAGCAACGCCGGCUACGUGUAGCCGGACUGAGAGUACCUGAAGAAAAAGCAUCGGCUAACUCCGUGCCAGCAGCCGCGGUAAUACGGAGGAUGCGAGCGUUAUCCGGAAUGACUGGGCGUAAAGGGUGCGUAGGUGGUUUGACAAGUUGGUAGCGUAACUCCGGAGCUCAACUUCGGAACUACUACCAAAACUGUUGGACUCGAGUGGAGGAGGGGCAACUGGAAUUUCUAGUGUAGCGGUGGAAUGCGUAGAUAUUAGGAAGAACACCGGUGGCGAAGGCGAGUUGCUGGACUGUAACUGACACUGAGGCACGAAAGCGUGGGGAGCAAACAGGAUUAGAUACCCCAGUAGU
rnacentral:rRNA from 1 species